UAGAUGUAGAUGUUCAGUGUUUUGCUUAAUGUUGUGUAGACUACUAUAUAAAAAGGUUCAGUCGUCUUUAAAAGAUUCUUAGAAUCGUUUUGCUAUUGUUGAGUCCUGUUGAGUUGUUCCUAACAUUUAAAAAAAUGUACAUAGAAGUGGAUUUAGAUUUCAAUUUUGAAGUAUAAGUAACUCGCAAAGUAUAAGAUAGGCGCAGUAUUGGACCGCUGACUUCACGGUAUUCUGGGUAUAUAAAGGAUCUCUUACGAGCAUCUUUGGGAGCGCUACAGAAGCACCCCGAUUAGGCAUAAGAUCAAGCGAUACAAGUGGUAAUUAUUAGGUCAUACACUCCAAAUGUAUUCCAAUUUUAUCCCCAAACAGGCGCUCGAUUGGAACCCAAGAGGAAAGCGUAAGCGUGGCCGAUCCAGACAAGACUUGGAGCGAGGUGAAAUACGAGGCUCAAGACCCAACGCGACGGAGACUCACUGUGGACAAGCAGUGUUAGACUAGUAAGCGUGUGAUUUCCAACCUUGAAGACGUGUUAGAAGCUCACCAACGAAACGAUAUUUAAGAUCCUGAUCUUUAUCCUGAUAAAAGUGCAAUAAAUCGUAUCAAAUAAUG